GGUAGCUCAGUGGUAGAGUGCUUGCCUUGCAUGCAUGAGGGCCUGGGUUCAAUUCUCAGUACCA
rnacentral:tRNA from 1 species